UCGGACGGUAGCACAGAGGAGCUUGCUCCUCGGGUGACGAGUGGCGGACGGGUGAGUAAUGUCUGGGAAACUGCCCGAUGGAGGGGGAUAACUACUGGAAACGGUAGCUAAUACCGCAUAACGUCGCAAGACCAAAGUGGGGGACCUUCGGGCCUCACACCAUCGGAUGUGCCCAGAUGGGAUUAGCUUGUAGGCGGGGUAACGGCCCACCUAGGCGACGAUCCCUAGCUGGUCUGAGAGGAUGACCAGCCACACUGGAACUGAGACACGGUCCAGACUCCUACGGGAGGCAGCAGUGGGGAAUAUUGCACAAUGGGCGCAAGCCUGAUGCAGCCAUGCCGCGUGUAUGAAGAAGGCCUUCGGGUUGUAAAGUACUUUCAGCGGGGAGGAAGGUGUUGAGGUUAAUAACCUCAGCAAUUGACGUUACCCGCAGAAGAAGCACCGGCUAACUCCGUGCCAGCAGCCGCGGUAAUACGGAGGGUGCAAGCGUUAAUCGGAAUUACUGGGCGUARAGCGCACGCAGGCGGUCUGUUAAGUCAGAUGUGAAAUCCCCGGGCUUAACCUGGGAACUGCAUUUGAAACUGGCAGGCUUGAGUCUCGUAGAGGGGGGUAGAAUUCCAGGUGUAGCGGUGAAAUGCGUAGAGAUCUGGAGGAAUACCGGUGGCGAAGGCGGCCC
rnacentral:rRNA from 1 species